rnacentral:misc_RNA from 1 species
CUGUCACAAGGAUUAAAUUCUCCUUGACAACGAGGCCAAGGAUACACAAAUUAAUUGCGAGAGAAUAUUUAUUUAGGUUGCAUUAUGAGAUGAAGCAGCCUCCAAUGCAUAUGCUUGAGAAGGCUGUAGCUCCUGUUGCUCUCCUUGUUUUAGUAUUUGCUGUUGCUGAUGCUGCUGCUGUUCUCCUUGCCAUGUCCAAACAAUGUCCUUGAGUGCAGGUCUAAUCUCUUGUUUUAGUACUGUCUGAUACUCCAGUGUAUCUCCACUGGACUUCUUCAUUUCCACCAAAUGAAAACAAGGAGU